UGAACGCUGGCGGCAGGCCUAACACAUGCAAGUCGAGCGGAUGAAGGGAGCUUGCUCCCUGAUUCAGCGGCGGACGGGUGAGUAAUGCCUAGGAAUCUGCCUGGUAGUGGGGGACAACGUCUCGAAAGGGACGCUAAUACCGCAUACGUCCUACGGGGGAAAGCAGGGGACCUUCGGGCCUUGCGCUAUCAGAUGAGCCUAGGUCGGAUUAGCUUGUUGGUGAGGUAAUGGCUCACCAAGGCUGCGAUCCGUAACUGGUCUGAGAGGAUGAUCAGUCACACUGGAACUGAGACACGGUCCAGACUCCUACGGGAGGCAGCAGUGGGGAAUAUUGGACAAUGGGCGAAAGCCUGAUCCAGCCAUGCCGCGUGUGUGAAGAAGGUCUUCGGAUUGUAAAGCACUUUAAGUUGGGAGGAAGGGCAGUAAGCUAAUACCUUGCUGUUUUGACGUUACCAACAGAAUAAGCACCGGCUAACUUC
rnacentral:rRNA from 1 species